rnacentral:lncRNA from 1 species
CUAGCAGCAGCCUAGUACUACAACUACAAGGUCGAUCGGGCUAGCUAGAGGGUCUAGAGAUCGUUCGAUCACACACUGACCGAUCCAUCACUGCGACUGCGUGCCUGGCUGCUCGGUGCCUAGCUCGGUCGAAGCAGAAGCUACGGUCACCAUGGCCAAGAAGGUAGACGAAGAACAUAACUACUACAGCGACUGGGCCGACAUCGCCCACGGCGUCGACGCCGACGGCCGCGCCACGGAGCUGCG